rnacentral:rRNA from 1 species
GGAUGGACCCGCGUCUGAUUAGCUAGUUGGUAAGGUAACGGCUUACCAAGGCGACGAUCAGUAGCCGACCUGAGAGGGUGAUCGGCCACAUUGGAACUGAGACACGGUCCAAACUCCUACGGGAGGCAGCAGUGGGGAAUAUUGCACAAUGGGCGAAAGCCUGAUGCAGCAACGCCGCGUGAGCGAUGAAGGCCUUCGGGUCGUAAAGCUCUGUCCUCAAGGGAGAUAAUGACGGUACUUGAGGAGGAAGCCCCGGCUAACUACGUGCCAGCAGCCGCGGUAAUACGUAGGGGGCUAGCGUUAUCCGGAAUUACUGGGCGUAAAGGGUGCGUAGGUGGUUUCUUAAGUCAGAGGCGAAAGGCUACGGCUCAACCGUAGUAAGCCUUUGAAACUGGGAAGCUUGAGUGCAGGAGAGGACAGUGGAAUUCCUAGUGUAGCGGUGAAAUGCGU